AACGAACGCUGGCGGCAGGCCUAACACAUGCAAGUCGAGCGCCCAGCAAUGGGAGCGGCAGACGGGUGAGUAACGCGUGGGAACCUUCCCAAUGGUACGGAAUAGCUCAGGGAAACUUGAGGUAAUACCGCAUAAGCCCGAAAGGGGAAAGGAUUAUCGCCAUUGGAUGGGCCCGCGUAGGAUUAGCUAGUUGGUGAGGUAAUGGCUCACCAAGGCGACGAUCCUUAGCUGGUUUGAGAGAAUGACCAGCCACACUGGGACUGAGACACGGCCCAGACUCCUACGGGAGGCAGCAGUGGGGAAGUCUUGGACAAUGGGCGAAAGCCUGAUCCAGCCAUGCCGCGUGAGUGACGAAGGUCUUCGGAUUGUAAAGCUCUUUUGCCAGGGACGAUAAUGACGGUACCCGCAGAAUAAGCCCCGGCUAACUUCGUGCCAGCAGCCGCUGUAAU
rnacentral:rRNA from 1 species